AUGUUUAUUUCGGUAGACAUCUUAGUGGCGCACGGGUGAGUAACGCGUGAAUAACCUGACCCGAAGAGGGGGAUAACGAUUGGAAACGACUGCUAAUACCGCAUGACACAUUGGGGUCGCAUGGCCUUGAUGUCAAAGAUUUAUCGCUGAAAGAUGGCCUCGCGUCUGAUUAGCUAGUUGGUGAGGUAACGGCCCACCAAGGCGACGAUCAGUAGCCGGACUGAGAGGUUGAACGGCCACAUUGGGACUGAGAUACGGCCCAGACUCC
rnacentral:rRNA from 1 species